rnacentral:rRNA from 1 species
UACGUAGGGGGCGAGCGUUGUCCGGAUUUAUUGGGCGUAAAGAGCGUGUAGGCGGCCAGGUAGGUCCGUUGUGAAAACUCGAGGCUCAACCUCGAGACGUCGGCGGAAACCCUCUGGCUAGAGUCCGGAAGAGGAGAGUGGAAUUCCUGGUGUAGCGGUGGAAUGCGCAGAUAUCAGGAGGAACACCAAUGGCGAAGGCAGCUCGCUGGGACGGUACUGACGCUGAGGCGCGAAAGCGUGGGGAGCAAACAGG